AUGUUGUGUCAAUUUUCUUGU
rnacentral:snRNA from 1 species